UAUUGAAGGGGGAGGGUAUAAAUACGAUUGUCAGGAAUGGGACGCCCUGUCGCCUCACCGGAAAACGGAAGACGUCAUCGCCAUGGUAACACAAAGACGCCUACUGUGCAUGGCUGUAGCGCUGUGGCACAGGUUGCAACUAACAAGGAUCGCUGCUGCUUCCAGAAGACGAAAGCAUCCCACUUUUUUUCACUCGCAUUUUUUCCAAUCCUAUUAUCUGGCAUUUCAAAUCCAGCAAAUGAAUAAAUGAAUUCUGUCAGUUGUGUUCAAAUUUUAAGGUGUCAGGGGGUGCACAAUUAAAUCAAAUGUCAGCAGAGAAGAAGAUUUGUUUCUUUUGAUUUAUCUUUUUACACCACUCUUUUUGUGAUGUUCUGUCAGUGUGAAAAAGGCGUGGGAGAAAUAAAGGACGCAUGUGGAACUCACAUCAAUAUGUUUGUUUCCUCCUCCAUUUCGACGUUGCACUUCCUGAAAAAGUUGUCCAGAGUGAGCAUCGAUGCAGACUCGCUAUUUAAGGGCUGAACAGUCCACUCCCCCUCCGCCCUACGCGGUUUGGGACGGCACUUAAUAUGGAGGACCCUCCGCGGGAACGCGCAAACGGAGGGGUAGUGUGUAGGGAUAGUGUGUAGGGGGCGGUUUGGGAUUCAGCCUAUGACUCUAACCUGGUCGCCAGCAGGUUUAUCUGAGAAAACCUCGAGUUUCUCUCCGUCUCCACUCUCUUUCAGCCACACAUGCCGUUUCAUUUCCUCAUUCAUUCAGUCAGUAAGCGAGCGAGUUUUGGCGUAGAACAGCUUUUAUUAACGAUCCAGUGGAUAAAGGAGCAGCAUUACUGCACAGAUAAUUAAAUAUUCGUCGGUAGAUUGUUAUCAGACCGCGCAUAAAUGUUCUCGCAUUUCCGGACAAUUAUCGGUUUGAGCGGUACCGUUUCGUAAUCGUUUCAAGUCCAUAAUCUACAUAACCUAAUCCGUCCUUACAUUUACAUUACCAGCCGCAGUCAUGCUCUCACAUCCAGCAGAUAUUGUGUGUUGCGCUGCGGUUCUUUGCAAAUGAAAGUUUUUAUAUGAUGUCAGAGAUGCAGAGCGCUACAGUAAGACAACUGUAUGCAGGACAGUCAGAAAAGUUUUCCUGGCUCUGAAACGACUUUUACUCAUCAUUGUGGACAUAAACCUGUCAGAACAUCAAGGAGGAGUUCCACAGGAUUACAGGAGAGUUUGAUGGCCUUCUACUGGGUGACAGGGGUUACCAUGCCAACCCAGGCUGAUGACCUCAUACCCUGACCCUCAACCAGGCCCCCAACAGAACUUCAACCGGACUCACUGCAGGACCAGAGCCCGGGUGGAGAUGACCAUAGGCCUGCUGAAAGCCCGUUUCCAGAGCCUACGUCUCCUCAGGGUGACCCCUGAGAGGGCCUGUGAUAUUCCUGUGGCAUGUGUUGUUCUUCAUAAUAUUACCACUAUUAGAGGAGAGCAACACCCUGCCCUACAAACUGAAGACCCAGAUGAUGACCCCAUCCACCUGCAGCUAUCCAGGACAGCAGAGCAGUCAGAGACACCGUAUGCAAUAAUCACUUUAGAGUUUAAGUCACCAUCAUCACCACCACAGCAAAUAAAGACAUGAUACACAUUUCA